ACCUGGCUGGUUCAGUCAGUACAGCAUGUGACUCAUGAUCUCAGGGUUUGUGAGUUCGAGCCCCAUGUUAGGUG
rnacentral:tRNA from 1 species